rnacentral:rRNA from 1 species
UACGCAGGGGGCUAGCGUUGUUCGGAAUUACUGGGCGUAAAGCGAACGUAGGCGGUGUUCCAUGUCAGAGGUGAAAGCCUGGGGCUCAACUCCAGAAUUGCCUUUGAAACGGGGACGCUUGAGUCCGAGAGAGGAUGGCGGAAUUCCUAGUGUAGAGGUGAAAUUCGUAGAUAUUAGGAAGAACACCGGUGGCGAAGGCGGCCAUCUGGCUCGGUACUGACGCUCAGGUUCGAAAGCGUGGGGAGCAAACAGG